rnacentral:lncRNA from 1 species
GGCUGAAUAGAUGGAGCUACCUGGUUUUGGAUUUUCAGCCUCCAAAUCUCUGAGCUAAAUAUACCUCUUUCUGUACAAAAUACCCUGUUAUAGCAACACUAAAUUAACUAAGACAGAUUGGACAGAAGCAGUGCGAGGCUGGAAGGUGCAGGAAUCCACCCAUCUGCUGACUCUAACUUCACUGAAGAAACC